rnacentral:rRNA from 1 species
AGCUCCAAUAGCGUAUAUUCAAGUUGUUGCAGUUAAAAAGCUCGUAGUUGAAUUUUGGGUCUGGGUAGACGGUUUGGCCGCAAGGUCAACACUGUCCUAGCUGGAUCUUUUCUUGUGGCAAACUAGUGUGCUAUUUAUUUAGUGCGCUAGGGAACCAUGACUGUUACUUUGAAAAAAUUAGAGUGUUUAAAACAGGCUUAAGCCUGAAUAUAUUAGCAUGGAAUAACGGAAUAGGACUUUGUUUCUAUUUUGUUGGUUUUAGAAAUAAAGUAAUGAUUAAUAGGGAUAGUUGGGGGCAUUAGUAUUUCAUUGUCAGAGGUGAAAUUCUUGGAUUUAUGAAAGACUAACUUCUGCGAAAGCAUUUGCCAAGGAUGUUUUCA